UACGAAGGGGGCUAGCGUUGUUCGGAAUCACUGGGCGUAAAGGGCGCGUAGGCGGCCGAUCAAGUCGGGGGUGAAAGCCUGUGGCUUAACCACAGAAUGGCCUUCGAUACUGUUUGGCUUGAGACCGGAAGAGGUUAGUGGAACUGCGAGUGUAGAGGUGAAAUUCGUAGAUAUUCGCAAGAACACCAGUGGCGAAGGCGGCUGACUGGUCCGGUUCUGACGCUGAGGCGCGAAAGCGUGGGGAGCAAACAGGG
rnacentral:rRNA from 1 species